rnacentral:lncRNA from 1 species
UAGUCAUAUAGGUCACCAUAGGUGACUCCGACUGGCGUGCUAGUAUGGGUUAUUAAGCACUUGAUUAUUUAUAUUGUUAAUGAGAUGAUGUGAUGUGGUAUACUUCUGGAUUUAAUGUUAGUAUACUUUUGGUUUCAUGUUUAUCCGUAGUAUGAUUUUCUGGAAUCUAAACAGGUAUUACGGCGAGGGAUUAUAUUGUUUAGAAGGUCUUUAUUUAAGAUUUGUUUUCUGGCCCACUCACUCUUGUUUGAUCCCUCCAGGUCUAGUAGUAGAGCUUUCGUAUUGACGAGGAUUCGUGGCAAGUCUUGGUAUUGGAGAUUACCUUCGAUGGUAUGAUUUUCAAUCCACUCUACUGCACUUUACUUAUGCUCUAACGUCACGUGUGAAGUGAGUUCAUUCCUGCUCACCAACGCACUCUGGUUUCUAGGCACUCUUAAGUUUAAAUUUAUUGACAUUUUUUUUUCACAUCAGCACACUUCAUGGUUUCGUCACCUUCCAGGUGUCGGCUAGCACAGCUCGAUUCGGAGUCCUAAUGGACAUUUUGGGUCGGAGUGUGUCAGGAAUCCCUUCCCUUAAAGGGCCUGUAUAUAUAUAUGCACAUUAGAACACAAGCAUUUUACUCUCCGAAACAUUUACAUAUUCAUAUACACAUAUAUACAUCAGUAGUAGAUUAUAUUAUAUAUACAUAUAUCAGAACAUAAUAAUUUCAUCACAAGAAUUUCA